GAUGAACGCUGGCGGCGUGCCUAAUACAUGCAAGUCGAGCGAACAGACGAGGAGCUUGCUCCUCUGACGUUAGCGGCGGACGGGUGAGUAACACGUGGAUAACCUACCUAUAAGACUGGGAUAACUUCGGGAAACCGGAGCUAAUACCGGAUAAUAUAUUGAACCGCAUGGUUCAAUAGUGAAAGACGGUUUUGCUGUCACUUAUAGAUGGAUCCGCGCCGCAUUAGCUAGUUGGUAAGGUAACGGCUUAUCACGGCGACGAUGCGUAGCCGACCGGAGAGAGGGAUCGGCGACACGAGAAGGGGACCAGGGACAGGGGGACUACGGGAGGGAGCAGUAUGGUAUGGGAGGCAGUAGGCGAGAGUCUGGCGGAAUGGCGGGAAGUGUGAGACGAAAGUGUUGGGUGCGUGAAACUGUCUUAUGGGGGAAAAACAAAUGUGGAAGGAAAUGUAGACGGCGUGACGGUACUGGAUCAGAAAGCAACGGCUAACUACGUG
rnacentral:rRNA from 1 species